rnacentral:misc_RNA from 1 species
UACGGAGGGUGCAAGCGUUGUCCGGAUUUAUUGGGUUGAAAGGGAGCGUAGGCGGCCUGAUAAUUCAGCGGUGAAAUCCCACGGCUCAACCGUGGAACUGCCGUUGAUACUGUCAGGCUUGAGUUCGGUCGAGGCGGGCGGAACUGGUGGUGUAGCGGUGAAAUGCAUAGAUACCACCAAGAACCCCGCUUGCGAAGGCAGCUCGCUGGGCCGAAACUGACGCUGAGGCACGAAAGCGUGGGGAGCGAACAGG